rnacentral:rRNA from 1 species
GUGCACGCUGGCGGUAGGCCUAACACAUGCAAGUCGAACGGCAGCACAGUAAGAGCUUGCUCUUACGGGUGGCGAGUGGCGGACGGGUGAGGAAUACAUCGGAAUCUACUUUUUCGUGGGGGAUAACGUAGGGAAACUUACGCUAAUACCGCAUACGACCUACGGGUGAAAGCAGGGGAUCUUCGGACCUUGCGCGAUUGAAUGAGCCGAUGUCGGAUUAGCUAGUUGGCGGGGUAAAGGCCCACCAAGGCGACGAUCCGUAGCUGGUCUGAGAGGAUGAUCAGCCACACUGGAACUGAGACACGGUCCAGACUCCUACGGGAGGCAGCAGUGGGGAAUAUUGGACAAUGGGCGCAAGCCUGAUCCAGCCAUACCGCGUGGGUGAAGAAGGCCUUCGGGUUGUAGAGCCCUUUUGUUGGGAAAGAAAAGCAGCAGGUUAAUACCCCGCUGUUCUGACGGUACCCAAAGAAUAAGCACCGGCUAACUUCGUG